GAUGAAGAACGCAGCGAAAUGCGAUAAGUAAUGUGAAUUGCAGAAUUCAGUGAAUCAUCGAAUCUUUGAACGCACAUUGCGCCCCUUGGUAUUCCGAGGGGCAUGCCUGUUCGAGCGUCAUUAUAACCCCUCAAGCUCAGCUUGGUGUUGGGGCCUGCUGCACUGGCAGCCCUUAAAAUCAGUGGCGGCGCCAUCUGGCUCUAAGCGUAGUAAUUCUUCUCGCUAUGGAGUCCUGGUGGAUGCUUGCCAUCAACCCCCACUUUUUCUAUGGUUGACCUCGGAUCAGGUAGGGAUACCCGCUGAACUUAAGCAUAUCAAUAAGCGGAGGA
rnacentral:misc_RNA from 1 species